AGGAGAAAUAAUUAUGCCCCUCUCCUGCUCUCUGGAGUUCCUUUCAGUGCAGAAAGACGCAGCAGCCAGCAGAGGUGUCGGCGAGGACACCGAAUGAGCUGAACAGGGCACCCUGCUCCCACCGGCCCCCCGCUCGGUCCACCUCCUCAGCUGGAUGGGAGUGACAAGGUGGACCUUCCUCUGGUAGUUCCAAACCCAACCAACAGUUUUGGGAGCCAGCAGGACUCUUCCAGAGAAGGACGCUUAUCCGACACGCCCCUCGUCUUCCUGAGUGAGGGCAGGACUGUGAUCAUGGGUGAAACAGUCCCAAGCUGAGAUGAAUCCAGAAAAUCUGGAAGCUUCCUUCUUCUGGGGAACCCUAACCUCACAAGGGUGUUGCAUACCCAUGCUGGCCUGACCCCCAAUGGAUGCCUUUGGAGAGGCUUAACUUUGGGAGGAUUUUCACACACACUGUUGACCACAGCCAGGAAGAAAGGAUGUAACCGAAUUCUGUUCCCAUCGCUAUGGCUACGCAAAAGCUAAAAUGGUGUUGCUACCACCACAGGGCUGCAGAAGCAGAAGGAGGUCUCUUUUUAACCCAUGUAAUCUGUCUGAGGUGAGGAACAAACCUGGGGAGAUCCUGCCAGGUCUCGGGAGAGCCUGUGGAGAAGGUGAGCCAGUUGCCUCCUGUGUGGCCUCCUGUGGGACGGGGUGGGCUACCUGGACCAUGGGAUACAGUGCUGUGUGUGUGCUGACUUGUAUUUGUGAAUUGUGAAAGUGCAUGCGUGUGUCAAUAUACGCACAUAUAAUUUCUCCCUCGGGAGAGCCAUUUUUAAAAUAUGUGCCAGAUCUGCUGUUCCUGGCCAGUCUCUCCACCUCCUCCCCCAAUCUAAAAAUAAAGUUCCUGGUAUCUGGGCAGGGACUAAUCCCAG
rnacentral:lncRNA from 1 species